AUCGUGUUCAACUUCUUCAAUCGUGUUCAAUUCCUCAUUAAUUUUGAGAUCGAGUGAGUAGAAGAAGAUGACGGAGAACGAGAAGAAAGCUUCGCCGGUUUCCGAUUAGGUGUUAUGGAGGUCUCUGCAGAUCCUAGUGGGAUUAGCAUGUCACCUUUGUAGGAGAGCAGUGUUGAACAAGAUGACAUAAAGGAUCCUUUCGGUGAGGUACAUAAUUCUUUAGCCACUUACAUGCAUACUUAAUCAGGGAUAGCUAAGUAAUUGAAACUGGAAAUUCCAGUAAUUGAGUUUUUCUGUAAAACUCCGCCAGCAUCAAUAGAGCAAGCUUGUCAAAUGGGUCAUGGGUCAGCAGUUCAAAUGGUUUAAUCAGUUAUCAACAUUUGUUGGGAUGCCACGUUUUUGAAGCUCGUGUGGCUGUAACCCGGGCUUUGAAGGCUAAGGGACUGUACAAAGGGAAGAGAAAAAUGAAAUGAGGCUAGGGAUAGUUCUAGAAGCAAUGAUGUGGUUGAACCUGUGAUAAAACCACAGUGGUAUGUUAACUGCAAUGGUAUAGCUAAGGAAGCUCUUGAUGUUGUCAUGGAAUGCACAUAUAAGAAAAGUGAGAUAAUGCCAAAACAAUAUGCUGCUGACUGGAGAAGAUAGAAAAGUUGAACCUGAUCAUUCAGGAGACAAUGAAAGAACAAGAGAAAGGUUAAACGAAAUUAUUGCGGGGUUGGUAUGGAAAAAGAAAGAUAAAGCGGAGAAAAAGGCUAUGCACAAUAGGAUGGCACAAAUUGAAGCAAUUUAAAAAGUUAGGUCUCAAAACGUCUAUUCAUUGUAUCUAUUAUGUUAGGAUAACUUGACUAUGAUGGAUUAAUUUGUAAAUUAUAAAUGAAAUGUUGUAUAUAAUAUUGAAAAUUCGAUAAA